GCUUAGCCGGUACCCUGUGAUAUGGUGGGACGUCAAAGGUCAGUUCGUAUGCUGCGGGAAAUGGCCACCGAGGAGGUAGGGCUUAGGCUUGCGUUUGUCUGUUAUAUCUUGGUGGACGAGUAGUCGCGGUUGGGACUGAAGGUGCCUACAACGUGCUUAUGAGUGGAUUUGGGUCUCCGUGUGCGCCGUGUGUGGAUAGCCUGCUAUGCGUGUGUGGCUGUGUAUUGGAUUGAUAGCGAGUCGGUAACUUGUGGCCGGUUCGGGUUUACCCGGGAGGACUUAAGCAUAUUAAUAAGCGGAGGAAAAGAAACUAACAAGGAUUCCCCUAGUAACGGCGAGUGAAGCGGGAUGAGCUCAAGCUUAAAAUCUCCGUGCAAUUUUUGCGCGGCGAAUUGUAGUCUAUGGAAGCGUGGUCAGUAUGGGCACUUGGGUUAAGUUCCUUGGAAGAGGACAGCAUGGAGGGUGAUACUCCCGUUCAUCCCUAAGUUGCUUGUGCGUACGACCCGUUUUCUUUGAGUCGCGUUGUUUGAGAAUGCAGCGCAAAGCAGGUGGUAAAUUCCAUCUAAAGCUAAAUAUUGGUGCGAGACCGAUAGCAUACAAGUACCGUGAGGGAAAGAUGAAAAGAACUUUGAAAAUAGAGUUAAAGAGUACCUGAAACUGCUGAAAGGUAACCAAAUCGUUUCCAGUGUCUAUAAUCCGUGGUAUAUUUCAUUGGCGAGCGUAUGCGUGCGUGUGCUGUUGCAGUGGCCUUUUUGGCUGCGCUCGGCGUGUGUGCUGUGUGUGCUUGCCGGUGCCCUGUGCUAUGGUGGGACGUCAAGGUAAG
rnacentral:rRNA from 1 species